rnacentral:rRNA from 1 species
UCGAGGGGCAUCGGGAAGAAGCUUGCUUUCUUUGCCGGCGACCGGCGCACGGGUGAGUAACACGUAUCCAACCUGCCCUUUACUCGGGGAUAGCCUUUCGAAAGAAAGAUUAAUACCCGAUAGCAUAAUGAUUCCGCAUGGUUUCAUUAUUAAAGGAUUCCGGUAAAGGAUGGGGAUGCGUUCCAUUAGGUUGUUGGUGAGGUAACGGCCCACCAAGCCUUCGAUGGAUAGGGGUUCUGAGAGGAAGGUCCCCCACAUUGGAACUGAGACACGGUCCAAACUCCUACGGGAGGCAGCAGUGAGGAAUAUUGGUCAAUGGGCGCUAGCCUGAACCAGCCAAGUAGCGUGAAGGAUGAAGGCUCUAUGGGUCGUAAACUUCUUUUAUAUAAGAAUAAAGUGCAGUAUGUAUACUGUUUUGUAUGUAUUAUAUGAAUAAGGAUCGGCUAACUCCGUGCCAGCAGCCGCGGUAAUACGGAGGAUCCGAGCGUUAUCCGGAUUUAUUGGGUUUAAAGGGAGCGUAGGUGGACUGGUAAGUCAGUUGUGAAAGUUUGCGGCUCAACCGUAAAAUUGCAGUUGAUACUGUCAGUCUUGAGUACAGUAGAGGUGGGCGGAAUUCGUGGUGUAGCGGUGAAAUGCUUAGAUAUCACGAAGAACUCCGAUUGCGAAGGCAGCUCACUGGACUGCAACUGACACUGAUGCUCGAAAGUGUGGGUAUCAAACAGGAUUAGAUACCCUGGUAGUCCACACAGUAAACGAUGAAUACUC